AGCAUCCUAACAUCACAGCCCAAUCUGACAUGUAAUUGUUUUCAAUCACAGCACGAUCUGAUAGGUACCAUCACUUAGAAACUGAGGAGGAGGACGAUACAAAUGAUGAAGACUUUAAUGUGGAACUACGGCAGUUUUCCUCAUCUUCACACCGAUUCUCUAAAGUGUACAGUAGUCUGGAUCUGUCUCGAGGACAGCUGGAGGAGAAAGGAGAACAGACAGAGAAGACAACAGACAGUCCUCUCACUGUUGACUCACUGAGCUGGACUCCAGACUUCACUGAGAUCCCCUCUCUCUCUCAUUCUUCUGACACUGAGAGCACCAGCUUGAGCAGAUGCUCUGGUCUUCUCCCUAAAUUUGCAAUCUCAGCAGAAGUGGAGGAUGGUGAGGGCUCCCUCUCUCUGGAA